rnacentral:rRNA from 1 species
AGCGAACGCUGGCGGCGUGCCUAACACAUGCAAGUCGAACGUGAACGGGGGCAACUCCUAGUAAAGUGGCGUACGGGUGAGUAACACGUAGGUAAUCUACCCUAGAGUUUGGAAUAACCGGCCGAAAGGCUGGCUAAUACUGGAUAGAGCGACGGAAUCCGUAAUUGGGUUUUUCGGAAAGGGAGCUCGCAAGAGCCCUCGCUUUAGGAUGAGCCUGCGUCCCAUCAGCUAGUUGGUAAGGUAACGGCUUACCAAGGCUUUGACGGGUAGCUGGUCUGAGAGGAUGAUCAGCCACACUGGAACUGAAACACGGUCCAGACUCCUACGGGAGGCAGCAGUGGGGAAUCUUGCGCAAUGGGCGAAAGCCUGACGCAGCCACGCCGCGUGAGUGAAGAAGGCCU